rnacentral:rRNA from 1 species
GUCUAGUGGCGGAAGGGUUAGUAACGGAUAGGUAACGUACCCUGUGCUUUGGGAUAGCGUCAUCCCGACUUCGGUCGGGAUUUCCGAAAGGGGCGGUAAUACCAAAUAAUAUCACUUGUUUAUAGACGGGUGAUCAAAGAUUUAUCGGCAUAGGAGCGGCCUGCCUCCUAUCAGCUUGUUGGUGAGGUAAUGGCUCACCAAGGCUCCGACGGGUAGCGGGACUGAGAGGCUGGCCCGCAACAUCGGGACUGAGACACUGCCCGGACCUCCACGGAGGGCUGCAGUAACGAAUAUUGUGCAAUGGGCGAAAGCCUGACACAGCGACGCCGCGUGUAGGAGGAAGUCCUUCGGGAUGUAAACUACUGUCAGGGGGAAGAAAGUGCGCUUCGGCGCAUUGAUCUAACCCAAAGGAAGUCACGGCUAACUUCGUGCCAGCAGCCGCGGUAAGACGAAGGUGGCAAGCGUUGUUCGGUAUCACUGGGCUUAAAGCGUGUGUAGGCGGAAAAGUAAGCGUUUCGUGAAAUCCCCCGGCUUAACCGGGGAACUGCGCAACGAACUGCUUUUCUUGAGGCAAGUAGGGGUGCAUGGAACUCUUGGUGGAGCGGUGGAAUGCGUAGAUAUCAAGAGGAACGCCAGUGGAGAAAUCGGUGCACUGGGCUUGUCCUGACGCUGAGACACGAAAGCGUGGGUAGCGAACGGGAUUAGAUACCCCGGUAGUCCACGCCGUAAACGAUGCCUACUAGGUUGUGAAAGUUCUGACACUGGCACAGCCGAAGCAAAAGUGCUAAGUAGGCCGCCUGGGGAGUACGGUCGCAAGGCUAAAACUCAAAGGAAUUGACGGGGGCUCACACAAGCGGUGGAGCAUAUGGAUCAAUUCGAAGCAACGCGUAGAACCUUACCUGGGUUUGACAUGCUUGGAUGCCGCCUCCGAAAGGGGGUUCGGCUGCCCUUCGGGGUGAAACUUGCACAGGUGCUGCAUGGCUGUCGUCAGCUCGUGUCGUGAGAUGUCGGGUUAAGUCCUUUAACGAGCGAAACCCUUGCCGUUAGUUGCCAGCGGGUUAUGCCGGGGACUCUAGCGGGACUGCCGGGUCAAACCGGAGGAAGGUGGGGACGACGUCAAGUCAUCAUGGCCUUUAUGCCCAGGGCCUCACACGUGCUACAAUGGCCGGGACAGAGCGAAGCGAGACCGUGAGGUGGAGCAAUCGCAAAACCUGCCCAGUUCGGAUUGCAGGCUGACACUCGCCUGUAUGAAUUGGAAUCGCUAGU